ensembl:snoRNA
GGUAGCAGUUAAAACUGGGUCUGACCCGUGGACAAAGACUUUAAGACAGGUACAAGGAUUAAAAUCCUCUUUGGCAACCCAAAACUCAUUAUUCUGUAUGUGCUCUGAUACACGUAAGAAGGAAUGUU